CCUACGGGGGGCAGCAGUGAGGAAUAUUGGUCAAUGGACGAGAGUCUGAACCAGCCAAGUAGCGUGAAGGAUGACUGCCCUAUGGGUUGUAAACUUCUUUUAUAUGGGAAUAAAACGUUCCACGUGUGGGAUUUUGUAUGUACCAUAUGAAUAAGGAUCGGCUAACUCCGUGCCAGCAGCCGCGGUAAUACGGAGGAUCCGAGCGUUAUCCGGAUUUAUUGGGUUUAAAGGGAGCGUAGGUGGAUUGUUAAGUCAGUUGUGAAAGUUUGCGGCUCAACCGUAAAAUUGCAGUUGAAACUGGCAGUCUUGAGUACAGUAGAGGUGGGCGGAAUUCGUGGUGUAGCGGUGAAAUGCUUAGAUAUCACGAAGAACUCCGAUUGCGAAGGCAGUUCACUGGACUGCAACUGACACUGAGGCUCGAAAGUGUGGGUAUCAAACAGGAUUAGAUACCACAGUAGUC
rnacentral:rRNA from 1 species